CAUGCAAGUCGAGCGGAAACGACAYUAACAAUCCUUCGGGUGCGUUAAUGGGCGUCGAGCGGCGGACGGGUGAGUAAUGCCUAGGAAAUUGCCUUGAUGUGGGGGAUAACCAUUGGAAACGAUGGCUAAUACCGCAUAAUGCCUACGGGCCAAAGAGGGGGAUCUUCGGACCUCUCGCGUCAAGAUAUGCCUAGGUGGGAUUAGCUAGUUGGUGAGGUAAUGGCUCACCAAGGCGACGAUCCCUAGCUGGUCUGAGAGGAUGAUCAGCCACACUGGAACUGAGACACGGUCCAGACUCCUACGGGAGGCAGCAGUGGGGAAUAUUGCACAAUGGGCGAAAGCCUGAUGCAGCCAUGCCGCGUGUAUGAAGAAGGCCUUCGGGUUGUAAAGUACUUUCAGUUGUGAGGAAGGGGGUGUAGUUAAUAGCUGCAUCUCUUGACGU
rnacentral:rRNA from 1 species